rnacentral:lncRNA from 1 species
AACUUUUUGUUCCUUUACGAAUUUACCUACAUGUUAGUGACCCGAUGGAACGAAGAAAGCCUACGUUAGGUUAACUCCAGACUACGAUGCUUUGGAUGUUGCUAACAAGAUUGGAAUAAUCUAAGGUAAAAUGUCGUGUCAGUUUAAAGGGAGAAUGUAUGCUCACCGUGACAGUUUUGUUAGUUUCAUGUUCUUGAAUACUAAUUCAAGUUUAAUGUGAGUAUUUUCAAUCUGGAUUCAACUUUUGUUAUAGUUGCUGUUUUAAUUAUUGUUUUUAUGGAGCUCUUGCUGAAGGAAAUAGCAUUUGUUAAUUGUUUUUAUGCAUCUUCAAAUGUGACCGAAGACAUUCAUUAGUAUCAUAAGUCUGAAGGGUGUGGGGUUGCGCCUCCCCUCCGAAUGGGGGCUUAUGAUUGGUGGUCAGCCCUGCCAACACAACCCACACCUAGUCACUCAUGAACCCAUCUUUGGCGCCUUUCUUUAGCACCCCUGGGUGUUAUGCCAGGCAUUAACAUGCUGAUGUGUAGGGGGUGGCAACCCACACUAUCCAGCCUCAACAUGCAUUCAAGAUAUACCGAAAUGAACUCGUAUUCAGCAUUUCAGCUUUAUUAUCAACGUACCUUCAUGCUUUUACAUACACUUCAUUGCCUUCUCAUUUCAACAGUGAACUGUUUCAAAAAUACAGUGUAUUAGUGUCACCGUCAACUAUUUCUAGCCACAUGGCUAAUUCACAAUUCGUCCUUGAAAGUGGUUAUAAGUAGAGAAGGGAGAAAAUGUUGUUUAUUUGUAAAUUUGAGAUGACACUGUUCACCUGUUAUAUUUUUUAAAUUAAUAAUUAAUAUAUUUUAGAAAUGGUUGUGAGUGGAUAAGAGAGAAAAUAUAAUGAUAAAAGUAAAAAAAAAAUAUUAUUUAAUUGAUAAAAGAAGAGAAAAUGUAGUUGUUUUUAGACCAUGUGUAGUACGCGAGGAGAAGAUAAUGCCUCCACUCUUGAGCGUUUUGCGUCAUGUGACGGUCCAGUCAGCAUGUGAGAAUUGUGGGGCAUUAUCUUAAAACGGGGGUAGUGGUAUAAUGCUCCAUAACAACAUCCCCCUAACCUCCAUUCAAUCAUUACCCAUAUUUAUACAUCCAGCUGUGGAAGGGUCUGAUUGGCCUAAGAUUUUUCUCCACCCGGCGUUUAAUUUGGAACGCUUCAACCCAAAUUCGCAAUAAAAACACCCCUGGGGCGGUGGAAGGGCGUGCUUGGGCGUUUUUUGGGGCUAAACGCCAAAAAAGUCCCCACUUCGGGCGGUCUUAUAGUGAGAAUUACAUGUAUGUUAAAAAAUUAAACUAACUAUUAUGCCAAACAAUAUAUUAAUCUUCAUGUGUAUAUAUGCAAAUGGUUUUUUUUUUUUUUUUUUUUUUUUUUGACCAUUUGAAUAGAGGAAAGACACCUUAUUACCACACAUAUCUCUUGAGGACUCGUAUAUAUUCGCUCGGUUUAUCACAGUUUCUUAGACCUCCGUUUAUUUCAUUAUAGAAAGAUUUAAGCGAAUUUGUUUGUAACUUAUUUCUAAAAUUAUUUUGCCAUAAUUUCAUUAUAGCAAGAUUAUAGAUGAUUUGUUUGUAACUUAUUUCGUGUGAUUUUGUU